AUUCCGCUCCAUAGCGUAUAUUAAAGUUGUUGCAGUUAAAAAGCUCGUAGUUGAAUUUCGGGAUCAAUACGUCGGUCGUGCUUCGGUACGUACUGGCGUCAUUGAUUUCUCCCUUCUGACGAACCAUGAUGUCAUUAACUUGGUGUCAUGGGAAAUCAGGACUGUUACUUUGAAAAAAUUAGAGUGUUUAAAGCAGGCUCACGCUUGAAUACAUUAGCAUGGAAUAAUGAAAUAGGACGUUCGAUCCUAUUUUGUUGGUUUUUAGGAUCAACGUAAUGAUUAAUAGGGAUAGUUGGGGGCUUUAUAAAUCA
rnacentral:rRNA from 1 species